UUUACUGAAGUUGUCCAAUGUUAGUAGUGAAGUUCUUAAGAGAUUUCUUCGAUUGUUGGCUUUUUGUAAGAACCUGGUUUUCUAUGCUAGUGCUGACUGACAAGGCCUGUUUUUACUGCCACUGGAUUUUACUUGUGAGCCAAAAAGCACAAGGGCGCUGCUAUAUGACUUGGCAGUCUCACUUCUACCAGGCCUAGGUCCCGAGGAGGUUGAUCUUUUAUUUGUUGCAGUAGAACCUGCAUUGAAGGUCAUUUAACUUUGGUGACAGGGUUGCCAUGUUUACAAAGAUGCCGCCGGUUGGUGGCUGCUUGGAGCAGAGGAACCAUUGGCAACAAUGGGUCGGCACACGCUAUUUCAAACCAAGGAAGAUACAUUUUCUGUCCAGGGGGCAGCAUAAACACCAUUAGGUUCUGCAUUAUAAUUUGCAUAUUGAUGACUAUAACCCAUAUAGCUUCCUUGAUUCCACGUGUUUGUCUGAUUGGUAUUGUAAUUCGCAGUUGGGUAGCCACCAGAUGUCUGAUAAUCACCAGGAUUGUAAUAAGUUGUUGAACAACUGGCGGGACCAGCAUAGGACCCUGUAUUUUGUGUGUAUGUCAAUUCUUGAUCUUAAAACAUAAAAAUAAGCUAACUGUUUGAAUUUUCUGUUUGGUAUGUGUUGUUGCAGCAAGUUUUCCAUUGCGACUUAAAACUAGAAAACACAUUGAUAGAUGGAAGCCCUGCUCUAUGAUUAAAAAUAUGCGAUUUUGGGUACUCAAAGUCCUUCGUUUCGCAUUCACAGCCAAAGUCAACUGUUGGAACUCCGGCUUACAGUGCUCCAGAAGUAUUAGCCAGGCAAGAAUAUGACGGGAAGAUCGCGGAUGUUUGGUCCUGUGGGGUGACAUUAUACGUCAUGCUCUUUGGUGGCUAUCCAUUCGAGGACCCAAAUGAACCAAGAGACUUCAGAAAGACAAUCCAUAGAAUUCUUGAAGUUCAGUAUUCGAUUCAAGAAAAUAUUGUGAUAUCGCCUGAAUGUCGCCAUCUCCUUUCAAGAAUCUUUGUUGGUGACCCUGCACAGGUUGAUUACGCGUUUAGUUAUUACCCCUGAAAGAAUACACUGAAAGAAUGCACGGAUGAUGAUUUGGAUGAAAUUCGUGAAGAAUGGGCAAAUUAUGUGGCAAACUUCAUUUACCGGUCUUGAAUUCUAUAUAAGUUAGCGGUUGUAAAUUUUUAUGGUUAAUUUUAGAAUUUUAAAAUAACU